rnacentral:rRNA from 1 species
UACGUAGGCAGCGAGCGUUGUUCGGAGUUACUGGGCGUAAAGCGUGCGUAGGCGGUGUCUUAAGUUUGUUGUGAAAUCUCCCGGCUUAACCGGGAGGGUGCGGCGAAUACUGAGAUGCUGGAGUGCCGGAGAGGUAAGCGGAAUUCCUGGUGGUAGCGGUGAAAUGCGUAGAUAUCAGGAGGAACACCUGCGGUGUAGACGGGCUUACUGGACGGUAACUGACGCUGAGCACGAAAGCCAGGGGAGCAAACGGG